rnacentral:rRNA from 1 species
UACGUAGGGUGCGAGCGUUGUCCGGAAUUAUUGGGCGUAAAGGGCUCGUAGGCGGUUUGUCGCGUCGGGAGUGAAAAUCCAGGGCUUAACUCUGGACUGGCUUUCGAUACGGGCAGACUAGAGGUAUGCAGGGGAGAACGGAAUUCCUGGUGUAGCGGUGAAAUGCGCAGAUAUCAGGAGGAACACCGGUGGCGAAGGCGGGUCUCUGGGCCGAUACUGACGCUGAGGAGCGAAAGCGUGGGGAGCAAACAGG